GUACGAAAAAAGCCCGCAUAGGAAAAAAAAACCACCCUCAUGCCUCUCGCCUGGAGCAGUCGAACCGCCUCCUCGCGCUGCCGCCGCAACGGGCCGCAAGCCGUCCGCAGGCGUGCCGCUUCUAGGAUGGUGGCGGAUCCAAAUGGACGACGGCGGCAGCGGGAUCCAACUUCACCUCGCACGCAUCCCCGACCCCCUGCCGGCGGCCGGAUCCGUUCACAGCCACCGUGCGGGUCCCGGCCACCAGGAUCUUCGUCUAGCAACACGAGGCUUCCCUCGCCCGUGGCGCUAGGUCACGGCCUCGCCACCGCUGGCUCGCCAUCCGGGCGUCCGUCCGUCGCUGACUCGGCAUCUCCAACUCUCCCUGCCCAAAAGGCCUCCCCCGACUCCCAGUACGGGCACAGGCGGCAUCGGGCAGCCCCCAAUCGGUAGGGAUUUUGUCCCAACUCCACCCCAAAUUUGUGUUGUUUGAUGUUAUUUCUCUUGCCUCCGUCGCCGUCUCACGAAGCCUCAGCAGCUGCCAUCGCCGUGUGAUUCGAUCAGCAGAUUUUCGAAAGGUACAAUACUUCGGUCCCCUGAUGCUCCCUUUUCUGAAAUAGAUUUUUGUAUGAUAAGCUUUCCACUGCACUGACAUUAUCUUUAUGCAUUAGCAUCUCUUUUCGAGGAUCAGUCAUGCUAUGGGAUGAGAGUGGAAUGCAUACUGAUGAUAGAGUUUGGACACGCAAUCGUCAUAAACCAUAUUACAAUUUCUCAAAAUACGUGGAUGAUUGGAUGUUUAGUUAUUCCAACUUUGCGUGAUUCUGUGUAUGAGACAGAAACUAGCUGUAGAAUGGCGCCAUAAACUACAUGAACAUUCUCUGCUUUUCCUCAAUAUUUCCGUCUGAAUAGUCUUGAAUUAUAAGCAAAUAUCUCCGCAUCUGAUUCUUUCCCUGAAUUAUCUAUAACCAUGUCUAUUUUAUCCAGAAAAAUAAUUUGCAAUUUUGCUAAAUUUGAUAUAUGUUUAGAUGCUCGCAUCUUCUUGUUCUCCAAGUGAUUAGCCGCACAUAUUUGCUGAUUUUGUUGAAGUUCUUUUAAUACCCUGAGACUGUUCCUAUUUUAAUUUUUCAGGUGCAUCAAAAGAAUUAUAUACAUUUAUGUGUGCAUUGCUAUGUAGAAGAUAUCCUUAUUUAAAUUACCAAGUUGCUUGAGUAUACAAUUUCUACCAGCUUCAUUUGGAAAGGGUAAUAUCUUCCAUACAAUUGGCAAAUGGAUUUUAAUAUGUAUCUUGCUAUUUAUGUGAUUUCAAUUAACUCUUGCAUGUCAGGUCAAUCUGAGAAAUUGAACAUUAAAACCCGUGGUUGGAUUCUUCUGUUUCUUUGGUACAUGCAAGGCAAUAAAUAUAGGUGAAAAUAAGUAAGAGGGGCAAUAAGCAUCAAAACAUACAUCAUAUUGGACAGAACAGGAAGCAACAUAUUUAUAGCUAAAUCUGGAUGCUGUGUCAUUUCAUUCUCGUGCACGGCUGAAACUUUUGUGAAUUGAAAGCUCACAUAGCCUACAUAUCACUUUUAGCUAUGGACAAAGAUCUCACUAUAGUUAGAUUCAGUCGAAGAACUCUGGGUACUUAGGUCAGCACUUCCAGUUAAAAUAUCCUUAGGUUCAUCUUUCAUGUGAUUCUGGUCUGUAAUUUUCCCUGUCAUGCUGAUUUAGUCUAUAAUCAUGUGCGAUUUUGAGUUGCUUGUUUUCCCUUUCUAAUUUAUGCAGAAAACAACUAGGUACUAUAAGGGCAUCUUUCAUGCUUUGUCUACAAUUUGUAGAGAUGAGGGUGGCAAAUUAUUGUAUAGGUCUUGGGCCACGUUAUUGGACAUGACGAGCUGCACCAUGGUGGUCAAUUUGCUGCACGACAUCACCGAAGGGAUGGCUUCAGAUGAGUUAAUAACUUCAAAGGUCGUAACAAUGUUUGUAUAUGAAGGAAAUGUUACAUGCCUCAUGAUGACUUAUUUAAUUUGUUUUUAUGCUUAUUAUUAUAUUUGGCUAUGGUGCUUGUAUUCUUGUGCUGUUUAUUUGUGUCUUUUAGGAUUUUACUGAUGUAUUGAUAGUUUGAUCAAUUUAUCUUGUGCAUUAUGUGUGGUACAUUAA